CACAGGUCCAAUGUGAGACAGACCCCACUGGUUUGGAUGGAGUCGUAGUGUAUGGUGAUCAAACAUAUCCACUGACAGCUUUUCUGAACCAUGAGUCCAGAUAUAAUGAUUCCUCUGUGGACAGCUCGACCAGUGCGGGUGGUGGGCAGCAGCAGCUGGGAGGCUCAGGACCGACACAUCACCAGGAGGAGAUCUUUGAGCUGUGGCUCUUUAUAGUCUUGACAUUUGAGACAGAAUCCUCGCCCACUAUACGUGUGUUGUCACUGUCGCUUUGGAUGAGGACCACGGUCCAGGUGGAGUCUGGGUGAUCCCUCUGUGGUUCUUCUGCUGAUGAUGAUCUUCAUGCUUUUUAAUGUAUAUUAGAGUAAUUCCAUCCAUCCAUUAUCUUGACCGCUUAUCCCGUCAGGGGUCAUGGGGGGCUGGAGCCUAUCCCAGC